rnacentral:misc_RNA from 1 species
GAUGAAGAACGCAGCGAAAUGCGAUAAGUAAUGUGAAUUGCAGAAUUCAGUGAAUCAUCGAAUCUUUGAACGCACAUUGCGCCCCUUGGUAUUCCGAGGGGCAUGCCUGUUCGAGCGUCAUUAUAACCCCUCAAGCUCAGCUUGGUGUUGGGGCCUGCUGCACUGGCAGCCCUUAAAAUCAGUGGCGGCGCCAUCUGGCUCUAAGCGUAGUAAUUCUUCUCGCUAUGGAGUCCUGGUGGAUGCUUGCCAUCAACCCCCAAUUUUUCUAUGGUUGACCUCGGAUCAGGUAGGGAUACCCGCUGAACUUAAGCAUAUCAAUAAGAGGAGGA